rnacentral:lncRNA from 1 species
GUCACCACCUCUGAGAAUGUCUCACUGAAGUGUGUAAACUAAGGAGUGGUGUGACCUGGAGUCUAAAACCUGGAUGUGAACACUUUCAGGCUCCGUGUCUUUUGAGUGCUGUUUUAAAUCUGUAUUCACAUCCAAAGGUACUUCACUUUGACAGUCAAGAAGAUUUCUUCCUAGUAAUUUUCACUAAGAAUGAUCUCAUUCUCAAGAACGAUGGUGCCUACAUCGCUCAUGCUAUAUUUUUAGAGCUCCCCAGGCCAAACUCCUUUUUCAAACUCCCUUACUGAGAGAUAUAAUACUUGGA